rnacentral:misc_RNA from 1 species
AUUGUGUGUAAAAAUUCAGCUCGGACAGGAAGCCUUAUUAUGGAAAAAUUGGAAAUCCCUAAAAACGACAGAAAUCUUGAAUAAAUUGAAUAUUAUAGUGUAUCGUUCGAGAAUAAUUUGAUUAACUGUCAGGUGGUGGGAUCAAAAAUUGGAAGUAUAAAGAGAUUAUUUAGCUAAAAGUUUGGCUUUUAAUGUUCUCGUUUAAAAGUAAUCCGCAGGAAAAUUUUAGAUCAAAAUGAGUGGAUGUUAAUUAAAAUGAGUUAAGAAAAGAGAUUACUAAUAACUUAAAAGUAAUGCGUUACAGAGGUUUCCAACCGAGCAUAAUUUCCGAGUGGCUGUUGGAAUGUAAACAAGAUUCAUCCAAAAUUGAAUUGGGAGCUUAUGCGCAAACCAUUCGCAAUAAUGAUGAAAUUGUCAACACGUUAUAUGAACUAUUCGAAAAGUACCCUGAUCAUGACCUUAUUUCACCGGUCUGUCAUCAACUAUUUGAGUUUUAUAGAGCGUCUAAUGAUGAAUUAAAAAAAUUUACAUUGGAGCUUGUCCCAUCAUUAAUAGGAGCCUAUCUGACAUCAGUCUACAACAGAGAGACAAAAAGAGUAUGCUCCAUAGCCACAUGUUUGCUAGGAAUCUAUAAUAUGGAAGUCGUAGAAAAGGAGAGUGGACAAGCUAAAGUUCGAACAUACACAGUACCAACAGUAGCCACUGCGUCCUGUUAUCACGAACCACCAAGUUUGACAUCAUUAGUACUAAGCGACAGUGCACUAAUGAAUUACCAUCACGACAAGAACAUCACAUUCCAGCAGGGACCCUUCGAACAAAUCGAAGAGUUUUCGGCUCAAAAUAGAUUCAUGAUCCUCACACAGGUUCUACGAGCUUAUAAUAGCUUUAUAGCAGAACUAUCGUUGAAGUCCAGAACAAAUCUUUGCGAGUGGUCUUGCAGGCUUUUAAGAAGCGGUUACAAAGGAACUCUAUUCAACAACGCUGAAGCUGAAAUAGAGGAUAACUCCCCGAGAAUACCUUUUACGUCAGAAUUUCUUCUAGAACUCCUAGACGGAGUAUAUUUUGCAAUGUUCAAUGGAAGUGCGAAAGAGGGAAAAUCAGUAGUUAGCGAUGUGUACGUUAGAGCCGAAUACGAACUUUUAAAUGAAGUGUUACUGGUUACGAACGCUAUUGUAGACUCUCUUGCAGUAAAUCCAUCUGGCCAACCAGAAGACGGACCCAUAGGUAUAUCCAUAGCCUUAUCUUCUGCUGCAAGAGACGGUCGCCUGAGGAAAUCUGCUCUGACGAAUGCUUCUUUUAGAACCAAGCGUUUACAAGCAGAAGAAUCGGAUUCGCUUGAUACGACUGGGGAUGAGGACGCACCUCCUGAUUAUGAGCAGGCUACCAAAGCAGACGUAAAGGGCAAAGGAUCGAAAAAUGCUAUUAAAAACAUAGUCCGUAAAAAGCUCUCGGUAGAAGGAAAGAAAAGGGAAGAUAGCUCUUCUGUACUCGGAGAUAGCGUCGAUACAGCUAAAACAUCAUACGCAUCAUUGAGUGAUAUUGUUCCAGAAGAAGAAGAAAAUCAGUGGGAAAACCCAACAGACAAUAGUUAAUUUUUCAUGUAUUUUAUUUAGAUUUCGUUUCGAGUCAAAUAAACCUCAUGCUUUAUCUUACUAGUUGUUUAUAAAAUCUUAUCUUUAUUGUAGC